UGGCCACCCUGUAUAUAACUUUUAGGCGCUUAUCAUAUUCAAUAAAUAUCUAUGUGCGUUUAUCAAUACGAAUAAAUGCGGACGAUGACAUUGACGCUCGAGCUAUUAAAGCGUAUAAAUGUAUGCAAGGCUAAAUUCUUGAGUUUUAUAAUUUUCUAAGAUUAUUUGCCGUUUUGGGAUUUGUUUAAUUGGAAAAUCAACGAGUUCGAUACCCGUUGGUCAUUUUAUUUACCUAAUACAAUUAAUAGAAGCCGUUAUUACCAACUCAUUUGAGUAAUUUAUAAGUGCAUAAUCUGCACAAAAUUAAAUAUCAGGAAGUCCACAUAUGGACUUCUUGAGUCACGGAGUCGAACCAUAAGAAAUCCACCCCUUGCGGAGUAACGAACAUAGUUCUAAAGGGAGCCCUCGUCAGAAAGAUAAGUCUUUCACCUCGUCUUUCACCUACCAUUCACUUAUCACUUACACGCAUCAUCUCAUAUUGUUAAUUGUCAAAAUUGUUAUCACUAACUACAUUAUUGUGUGCCGAUCAGUGUUUAAAAUUUGCAAGAUUAUACUCAAUUCAUUGAGGUGGCCAGUAGAAAGCGCUUUCCAUUGUCCCUGCUCAAUUUCUGACAUCACAGAAUUGUUUUAUUAUUGCUACUGUCCACUGUGAAUACCUUGCCUCGAGAUUGCCAUCCUCUGGCCUCCAUUCCAACAACGAACCCCAAUCCUUCCAAUUAGUUGUACCACGUUUGCAUUUGUUACACGAGGCUACCAAAAAAAAAGUAUUGCAUCGCCGCGUGGUUACAGUAUAAAAAACGCAUCUUAUUUUUUUGUGGAAAAAGGCAGCUCAGUACUUAAUAUAGUACCGGCGGCAACACCUUCGUCGAAAAAAUGGUGGCACAAUUUUGCGGUUGCGCGGCUAACGAUUCUUAUGAUUCUUUUACAUACUGCGGUUAUGUGACCUUCUGUUCGAACUUUUAAUUAACAACGAUAUUUCACGAGAUGACGUACACAACUCACAUGAAUCGCCUUGAAAGCUUAGCGGAGAAUUUAUUGUUACGUGGUAUAUAAAUCUUCGCGUUUACGUUUUUAGUUUUACUUCGAAGGUCUGGCUACUAAUGCCGCUCUCUCACCAAAUUCUUCUAUUCGUCGAUCUGAAAAACCGAAACGGAUUUCCAGACAACCUGGCUUCGACUGCGUUUUUUCUACAUGGCGGAGAGCAUAAGAGGAGCAUCUCAUGGCCCACAUUGACGGCUUCGUCAGUUUCUAGAACCGGCAACACUGUAACGUUUCGAUUCUUAUCUGCUUGAACACUCGUCCUUAUCUUAAAGCGCUUUAUUUUCUCGAAUAUUACUUCUGUUCUUUUUCUUUACGAAGCGGUACACGUAUAACAUUUUUUACAUCGGCAAAUUUGGAAAUUUAGUUUAGUCUAAAGCGACCACCUGUGUCAAUGGCAACUAACCAUUAAAUCUUUGAAUUUCAUGUCACAAUUUGUUAUUGUUGACAUUAGACAUAAAAUUCUGAUAUUUGAAGUGUAGCGGACUUUACGCCUCCCAAAUCGUCCGAUACUCGCUCGCUCGAUGCCUUCAUGUCCAUCGAUUUAAAAAAGAACGAAUGGACUGAUUGUAAUAAAAUUUUCUGGUGGAUUCUUUAUCAAAUUUGUGGAUCGAAGUUCGUGAAUUCAUACCAUAGGUCAAAAAAAUAGAAGGCUCUUUUCUUUUGACAUCUCCGUUAGUUAUGAACCGAAUUGUAUGAAAUUCAAACUGAGCCAUACAAUACGCAAUGCCAAAAGUUGAGCCUAAUCAAUUCAACAUUUGCAGUGCUUUUGUAGCGUAUUUUCGCAAAUUUAUUUAUAAAUACUUUAAACGCGAAUUGCGGGCGAACGGGGUGUCGGAAGUGGGUACCGACAAAGGGAAUGUGGUAGCUUCCGAAAAGAUCGCCGUCGAGGCGUCUGGCGUUGAACACAUAAUAUGGACAGGAUUGGCGUGUGUGCGGAUGAUGGCGCCUUGAGCCAAGCUCCCAGCCCAGAAGCUUUCAAAUGGAAGAAGCUUUGCCCAAGUCAGCUGUCUUGGUGUUGGCUUCAGGACUGCUUAUAAAGCCAACCCUUCGAGUGGCGAUGUGCUUGGGGUGCGCAGUGCCUAUUUGGGCGCCGCCGGUAACAAAACUGGGAUUCUGUAGCCGGUCCGUGCAGAGUGCAGCUUGGUGGAGAACCAUUUUUAUUUUUAUUGAAGGCGGGUAACAAGAACACAUAUGUUCCUGGUGCACAAACAUUAAAGGCAUUUAUGAACAAUUAUUCUAUUGCGUUAGAGUAUUGCCGCUUUCCGUUGCGUUGCCAUUUAUUGUUGAGUAGCGUCGUAGUGUCUCCGAUAGUGGAAUUCGAUUUCCAUCGGCCAUCUUGUGUGACACUUGAAGACCGCACCAUUUGUCCGACCAUCCGAUUAUCCAAUUACUUCAAAACUAUUAGGUACUCAAGGGGGCACAGGACUUAUAUUGCUUGCUUUACUUUAAUUGAACUAACUGAGGGUUUGUUGUAACAAUGCAACAGCCAUUACUUACAACUACAAUAUUGGAAUGUUCAAUAUAUUAAAAAUAUCAUCUAAAUAAUUACAAAAAGUAAUAAAUAUUGUCUUUAUGUGGUACUGAGCGGUUUCCUAAUUUUAAUUAAUCAGCGGAGGCUAAUCCUGCUAAGUCGUAUAUAGUACGAAAUUGAGUCAGUAUAAGCUUUUAUCAAAUUGUACUCGUUUACGUUUUGUAUAAAAAGGACUAGAAGUGGUAACUCUCUAAAGAACAGUUCUUUAAAAAGGAUGUCGCUGAUAUGUGUUCACUAUUAAGUAGUCUUACAUACACAAUGCUAACGGUGUAAUAAACUACAAUUGUGCGUGCAACAUACCAAAACCCCAUUUAUUGGUGAGCCAAACUAUUUUUGUACUAUCCUACCUAUUUAUAGACAGCAGAUUUGGAAGAAGAUCAUAAGGUAUAAGGCUCGGUUUAUUACGCCAAAUUUUACGUACCUACUUGGAAAUUAUUGUUGGCGGUGCAACUGUGCCAAUAUGGAAGCCAAACUCUCUUUGGAACUACGACCAUCCAAAGUUAAUCCCGGUAAUUUGAUAAAAUCGACUAUUAAAAGGUCUGUAGAAGUCUCGUAACCUUUGGAGGACAGUGGGAUUGAUGAACGGAUGGUUCCGACCUUUAGUCUUUCCGAGGCAAUGCGGCGAACUGCGACCUUCGCUUUUAAACAGACACGGAAAGCCUUUGGUCGAAUUGAAAUAGAAGUGUUUCUCAGUGACAACGCGCUUCAAACCCAAAAAAUCCUGCACGCGUUUCAGCUCGAUCGCCGGGUCGACUAUCAACCUUUCACCGCUGACAAACAAAAAUUGCGAAAGAGGAAAGUACUUGAGCCAGCGUAUUAAAUAUCGGGCGUAGAUGCCGAGCUUGAUAGGGCCCCAGCUCGUGUCGAUUGUGUUCCUUGUCGAACCGUUCACGAACGCGAGCUGCUCGAACGGUUUCAUUUCGGCCUUCUUCGACGCGGCCUGCGUGUAAUCGGAAAUCGAACGAGUUACCGGAUCUCUAACUACUACUAAAAGCUUAGUGGAGGGAUUCAUGUGUUGCACUCUACGUGGAGCUUCCUUCGUUAUGAAGUACGACGGCGACUUUUCGAUCGUUAUUUGACCUUCUAGAGUUAAAGGCAUGUGGUGACGGUACCAUUCGAAACCUUUCGAAUAGUGCUUGUCGAAGAAAUGGACCUCGCUUCCGGCUGCUCUCACAUCGGGAUGAAUGCGGAUAAACUCGAGCAGGGCGCGCGUGCCUCCCUUUUUCACUCCGAUGAUGAGGGCGCUUGGUAGCUGGCGUGCCGGUUGCAAACCUUGCUGUCGCAAGAAGCGGUACUUGGGGGAGGCGUCGGUUUCGUUAAUUGUUAGAAGUGGAACUACACGCACUGCGGUUGUGUAGUGUAGAGGGCUGGUGUAUUUUGGUACUAAUGGGUGAUGUCGCCACUGUAACAAACAAUAAACGUCAACUAAAAUUAUCAUACAGUACAAAUUAUUAGUAUUUCAGACCGACAGAUAGAUCGACAGACAGACCGACGGACAGACCGACAAACAGACAGACCGACAACAUCGAGAGUUUGUUUGAUUUUAAUUCCGGGUGUUUCAAAACAUCUAUUUCCGUUAUGAAAAAGGGGGGGGGGGAUUUUUUACCUCCAUUACUAACGUGCGUGGUAAAAACAAACACUCAAGUUAUGAAUGACGCAGAGAACCUCGACAACUUCUACUUUAUAGGGGGUAGGUUAGGCAACACUAAUUACACGCGAGCGGUUGUAAGGUUGCAUAACUAUCUCUAGGUGUUUUUCUAGUCUAGAUGAACCGACGAAGCGUAGUCGGGGAGGAGCCAGGGGAUGAAAAGAAAGAAUGCGAAAGAGAGAGUAGUUUGAGUUGUUCAGAAAGAGCAAGAAAGUAAUAAAGUCUGCAGAAUAAACGAAAGCAGAACGAAGUGAGCGGAACUCAAUUAGAAGUGAAGUGAAGGCAGAGGAAACAAAAAACAGAAGAAUUCAUUGAAGAGCUGAUGGAAGGAGUAAAGGGGAUGAAGUGAAAGAGACGAUGAGGGAGGAACUGACGGAAAGUAUGGAAAAAUUAGAGCGACAAAAUGAAAGAAUAGGAAAUGAGUAAAUAUGGAAAAAGGAAAAGAGAGAGAAAGCACACACCAGUUGUUAAAAGAAAACCUAGAAGUAGAAGCGAACGUAAAAGAAUUAAAGAGAGAAUUUCGACAGGUAGCUAAAAGAGAAAGAAGAAAGUGCAAAAAGGCAAGAUGUGGAUAUAGGAAACAAAUGAGAGAUCGCGAAAAGUACAGAUAGAGUAAAGAAGAAAAAUGGCUAGUAAGAUAAGAAAGAAAGAAAAUGCAGAGGAGAGAGAGAGAGGUUCGGGCGUACAAAUUAAUAAUAAAAGAUAACACAGAGGGAGAGGUAAAGAGAAGAGAGAG